GGGCGCGUGGCCUAGACCGGAUAUGGCACCAGCCUUCUAAGUUGGUGGUCGCGGGUUCGAAUCCCGCCGCGUCCG
rfam:Thermoplasmatales archaeon SG8-52-1 WOR_8-12_5260, whole genome shotgun sequence.